rnacentral:lncRNA from 1 species
CUCGGAUUUUGUAUCUUCUCAAAAUGUUCAAGUAAUGUUCUAUGUUUUGUACCAUCGGCAGAUAGAACAUGUAAUGAACCUUUGUAAUAUGUAUCAACACAUAGAACCAGUCCAGAUGGUAACACAGCCAGACUCUCAGGUUUCUUAAUUGUUUCGUUCUUGUAUGAAUAUAUUUCUUUGCCUUCUAAUGUCGUGCGUUUGAUUUCUUUGUCCUUUGUUGUG